UACGUAGGGUGCGAGCGUCGUCCGGAAUUAUCGGGCGUAAAGGGCUCGUAGGCGGUUUGUCGCGUCGGGAGUGAAAACGCCGUGCUUAACACGGCGCUUGCUUUCGAUGCGGGCAGACUAGAGGUAUUCAGGGGAGAACGGAAUUCCUGGUGUAGCGGUGAAAUGCGCGGAUAUCAGGAGGAACACCGGUGGCGAAGGCGGUUCUCUGGGAAUGACCUGACGCUGAGGAGCGAAAGUGUGGGGAGCAAACAGG
rnacentral:rRNA from 1 species